CAACACUCCACCUCUUGUACGCCUUUCUUCUCCGGCAAUCUGACAACUGUGUUGGCCUUCUGUGUUUCGAUGUUGUAACUUUCGAACUCAGGCUUUUAAGCCGGUGAUGCGAUUUGGUCGAGUGUUAGGCUUGCUUUGGUUCUGCUAAUGAAAAUGGCAUUUUGUAUGCAUUCGGGUUGUAGGCUUACUUUGGUUCUACCGAUGAAUAUCUUGUUUUGUGUAGAAAGGGGUGUAGGCUUACUAUAUGUAGGCUUCUUGAUCAUUCGAAAGUUAUCGCAAUUGUUUGGUGUGAUGGCGAUGAUGGUGCUUGUCAUUUGGCUCGGCAUGCUUUCAUCAUUUCAUGUGCCCAUGACAAGUUGCCGAGCCUAGAAAUGUUUGGUUAAUAGUGCCAUCUGUGUAUGCAGAAUGUUAUUUCAUGGCUAACAGAUUUGUUUUGUGUAUUUGUACAUUAUCAAUUAGUAAAUGGUUUCUAGUAUUUGUGUCUGUUGAUAUGAAUUUGGUGAUUUUUUGUG